GCUUGCUCCCCAAAAGAAAAGAGUGGCGAACGGGUGAGUAACACGUGGGUAACCUGCCCAUCAAAAGGUGAUAACACUUGGAAACAGGUGCUAAUACCGUAUAACACUAUUUUCCGCAUGGAASAAAGUUGAAAGGCGCUUUUGCGUCGCUGAUGGAUGGACCCGCGGUGCAUUAUCUAGUUGGUGAGGUAACGGCUCGCCAAGGCAACGAUGCAUAGCCSACCUGACAGGGUGAUCGGCCACACUGGGACUGAGACCCGGCCCAGACUCCUACGGGAGGCAGCAGUAGGGAAUCUUCGGCAAUGGACCAAAGUCUGACCGAGCAACGCCGCCUGAGUGAUGAAGGUUUUCUGAUCGUAAAACUCUGUUGUUAGAGAAGAACCAUGAUGAGAGUAAUACGUUCAUCCCUUGACGGUAUCUAACCAGAAAGCCACGUCU
rnacentral:rRNA from 1 species